AGGGGGCCGGGGGGGGGGGAAGUGUUGGGCUCUCGGGCUGAGAAAUUGGGGCACUCAGGCCUCAGACGUUCCCGGAGAGCGCGCUCGGGAGUGGCCCUGCCUGUGAAGGAGUUGGAUGGAGAUUGAGAAGAUUCCAUCCUUGGCACAGUUUUGGAAGCCCGGGCGGGGAUCGCCCUGGCUAACACAGAAAUCAGCCUCGUGGGCCAUGCCGGCUUUAAGGCCUGUUUCUUCUCCUGAGCUUCAGCAGAAGGCCGAUGGACCAGUCCUCACCGUGGAUGACUUCCCCUGCUUGAGCAAGCUAUGCUAUAGUACCUGGAAUCUGACCCUCACUGAAGUCCGUGCUUAAUAAAAGCCAGCUGAAUGAAGGGAUGUAACAGACCUCUGGGAGAGACACUGAAGUCUGCAGAGGGGGGGGAGGGGCCUGGACACACCCCUUCCCCCCAGACUCCUCCCCCUCUGGGUCCUCUCAGCCAUGGACUUUGAACCUGGAUAAGAGGAGAGAAACCACACUUUGUUUGGUGGAUCUGACUUGUGGGUCUCAGUUUUGGAAAUGGAGUGCCGGAUGGGCGUUUGGUGAUCUCCAGAGGAGCAACCGAGAGAAGAGAAGGUGCGGGUGGCCUCCUCCUCCUCCUCCUCGUGCUGGGGUGACCGCCCCCCACCGCCACCCCCGGGCAGCCCGCGGCCUCCCCCGCGGGGGCAGGAUGCUGAAGAAGCAGACGGCAGGGCUCGUGCUGUGGGGCGCCGCGCUCUUCGUGGCCUGGAACGCGCUGCUGCUGCUCUUCUUCUGGACG